rnacentral:rRNA from 1 species
UGGCUGCAGUGGGGAAUCUUCCGCAAUGGACGAAAGUCUGACGGAGCAACGCCGCGUGUAUGAUGAAGGUCUUCGGAUUGUAAAGUACUGUCUUUGGGGAAGAAUGACUGAUUUGAGAAUAUUGAGUCAGUAUGACGGUACCCAAGGAGGAAGCCCCGGCUAACUACGUGCCAGCAGCCGCGGUAAUACGUAGGGGGCAAGCGUUGUCCGGAAUUAUUGGGCGUAAAGGGCGCGUAGGCGGAUAGUUAAGUCCGGUGUGAAAGAUCAGGGCUCAACCCUGAGAGUGCAUCGGAAACUGGUUAUCUUGAGGACAGGAGAGGAAAGUGGAAUUCCACGUGUAGCGGUGAAAUGCGUAGAUAUGUGGAGGAACACCAGUGGCGAAGGCGACUUUCUGGACUGUAACUGACGCUGAGGCGCGAAAGCGUGGGGAGCAAACAGGAUUAGAUACCCCAGUAGUC